rnacentral:sRNA from 1 species
UGGCAGCGGUGACACUGCGCAGGUCCCC